GACGAACGCUGGCGGCGUGCUUAACACAUGCAAGUCGAACGGAAAGGCCUUUUCGGAGGUACUCGAGUGGCGAACGGGUGCGUAACACGUGGGUGAUCUGCCCUGCACUCUGGGAUAAGCCUGGGAAACUGGGUCUAAUACCGGAUAGGACCGCACUUUAGUGUGUGUGGUGGAAAGUUUUUUCGGUGUAGGAUGAGCCCGCGGCCUAUCAGCUUGUUGGUGGGGUAAUGGCCUACCAAGGCGGCGACGGGUAGCCGGACUGGGAGGUUGGUCGGCCACAUUGGGACUGAGAUACGGCCCAGACUCCUACGGGAGGCAGCAGUGGGGAAUAUUGCACAAUGGGCGCAAGCCUGAUGCAGCGACGCCGCGUGGGGGAGGACGGCCUUCGGGUUGGAAACUCCUUUCGCCAGGGACGAAGCGUUUUGUGACGGUACCUGGAGAAGAAGCACCGGCUAACUACGUG
rnacentral:rRNA from 1 species